rnacentral:rRNA from 1 species
UUGAACGCUGGCGGCAUGCUUUACACAUGCAAGUCGAACGGCUGUAGCAAUACAGCAGUGGCAGACGGGUGAGUAACACGUGGGAACCUACCUAGGGGUACGGAAUAACUCAGGGAAACUUGAGCUAAUACCGUAUACGACCUUCGGGUGAAAGAUUUAUCGCCCCUAGAUGGGCCCGCGUUGGAUUAGCUAGUUGGUGGGGUAAAGGCUCACCAAGGCGACGAUCCAUAGCUGGUCUGAGAGGAUGAUCAGCCACACUGGGACUGAGACACGGCCCAGACUCCUACGGGAGGCAGCAGUAGGGAAUCUUGGACAAUGGGCGAAAGCCUGAUCCAGCCAUGCCGCGUGAGUGAUGAAGGCCUUAGGGUUGUAAAGCUCUUUCGCCAGGGAAGAUAAUGACGGUACCUGGAUAAGAAGCCCCGGCUAACUCCGU